UACGUAGGGUGCAAGCGUUGUCCGGAAUUAUUGGGCGUAAAGAGCUCGUAGGCGGUCUGUCGCGUCUGCUGUGAAAACUCGGGGCUUAACCCCGGGCCUGCAGUGGGUACGGGCAGACUAGAGUACGGUAGGGGAGACUGGAAUUCCUGGUGUAGCGGUGAAAUGCGCAGAUAUCAGGAGGAACACCGGUGGCGAAGGCGGGUCUCUGGGCCGUAACUGACGCUGAGGAGCGAAAGCAUGGGGAGCGAACAGG
rnacentral:rRNA from 1 species